rnacentral:rRNA from 1 species
UUUCCUAAAACUUACUACUACUUAUUGUUUUAUUUAAAUCCCCUGUUUAUAUAUAGAUUUAACUCAAAAUAGAGCCAAAGCCAGAUUCAAACUUUCCCUAA